UUGUUAAUCAGUCACUUGAUCAGUGUCUGUGAGGAUCAUUGUGUGUCAGCUUACAUCAGUAAAUGAAGGAGAUCCUCUGUGCUGGCUUUUGGAUAUAGAGAAAUACAUCAGGCUGUCUACACUGACAAUGGUUUCCUCUCUUCUUAAAAGUGAGUAUUUUUUUGUCAUGAUUAGUAAAGACUA
ensembl:lncRNA